rfam:Camelus ferus unplaced genomic scaffold scaffold1161, whole genome shotgun sequence.
GAGGGUAUAGCUCAAGUGGUAGAGUGCAUGCUUAGCAUGCACGAGGUCCUGGGUUCAAAUCCCCAGUACUUCCU